UACAGAGGGGGCAAGCGUUGUUCGGAAUUACUGGGCGUAAAGGGCGCGUAGGCGGCCUGUUAAGUCGAACGUGAAAUCCCCGGGCUCAACCCGGGAACUGCGUCCGAUACUGGGUGGCUUGAAUUCGGGAGAGGGAUGCGGAAUUCCAGGUGUAGCGGUGAAAUGCGUAGAUAUCUGGAGGAACACCGGUGGCGAAGGCGGCAUCCUGGACCGACAUUGACGCUGAGGCGCGAAAGCCAGGGGAGCAAACGGG
rnacentral:rRNA from 1 species